AAGCUCAAAUUUGAAAUCUGGUACCUUCGGUGCCCGAGUUGUAAUUUGGAGAGGGCAACUUUGGGGCCGUUCCUUGUCUAUGUUCCUUGGAACAGGACGUCAUAGAGGGUGAGAAUCCCGUGUGGCGAGGAGUGCGGUUCUUUGUAAAGUGCCUUCGAAGAGUCGAGUUGUUUGGGAAUGCAGCUCUAAGUGGGUGGUAAAUUCCAUCUAAAGCUAAAUAUUGGCGAGAGACCGAUAGCGAACAAGUACAGUGAUGGAAAGAUGAAAAGAACUUUGAAAAGAGAGUGAAAAAGUACGUGAAAUUGUUGAAAGGGAAGGGCAUUUGAUCAGACAUGGUGUUUUGUGCCCUCUGCUCCUUGUGGGUAGGGGAAUCUCGCAUUUCACUGGGCCAGCAUCAGUUUUGGUGGCAGGAUAAAUCCAUAGGAAUGUAGCUUGCCUCGGUAAGUAUUAUAGCCUGUGGGAAUACUGCCAGCUGGGACUGAGGACUGCGACGUAAGUCAAGGAUGCUGGCAUAAUGGUUAUAUGCC
rnacentral:rRNA from 1 species